UUGACCUCAGAUCAGGUAGGACUACCCGCUGAACUUAAGCAUAUCAAUAAGCGGAGGAAARGAAACUAACAAGGAUUCCCCUAGUAACUGCKAGUGAAGCGGSAAAAGCUCAAAUUUMACAUCUGGCGGUCUUGCGGCCGUCCGAGUUGUAAUCUGGAGAAGCGUUUAUCCGCGUCGGACCGUGUACAAGUCUUCUGGAAGGGAGCGUCGUAGAGGAUGAGAAUCCCGUCUUUGACACGGACSACCGGUGCUUUUGUGAU
rnacentral:rRNA from 1 species